GCCCGCCUGGCGCAAUGGUGGCGCGCCAGACUUCUAGGCUUUGGCUUAAGUAAAUCUGGAGGCUGCGGGUUCGAGCCCCGCGGUGGGUU
rfam:Rhizoctonia solani AG-1 IA unplaced genomic scaffold scaffold1, whole genome shotgun sequence.